CAUUCCACGCGGUCCGUGACGAAGUUAACACAUUAAGCACCCCGCCUGGGGAGUACGGUCGCAAGACUAAAACUCAAAGGAAUUGACGGGGGCCCGCACAAGCGGCGGAGCAUGCGGAUUAAUUCGAUGCAACGCGAAGAACCUUACCAAGGCUUGACAUAUAGAGGAAACGUGCAGAAAUGUACGCCCCGCAAGGUCUCUAUACAGGUGGUGCAUGGUUGUCGUCAGCUCGUGUCGUGAGAUGUUGGGUUAAGUCCCGCAACGAGCGCAACCCUCGUCCUAUGUUGCCAGCACGUAAUGGUGGGAACUCAUGGGAGACUGCCGGGGUCAACUCGGAGGAAGGUGGGGAUGACGUCAAAUCAUCAUGCCCCUUAUGUCUUGGGCUUCACGCAUGCUACAAUGGCCAGUACAAAGGGCUGCAAUACCGUAAGGUGGAGCGAAUCCCAAAAAGCUGGUCUCAGUUCGGAUUGAGGUCUGCAACUCGACCUCAUGAAGUCGGAGUCGCUAGUAAUCGCAGAUCAGCAACGCUGCGGUGAUACGUUCCCGGGCCUUGUACACACCGCCCGUCAAGUCACGAAAGUCGGUAACACCCGAAGCCGGUGCCUAACCGUAAGGAAGGAGCCGUCGAAGGUG
rnacentral:rRNA from 1 species